UGACCUCUGACCUCAAAUCAGGUAGGACUACCCGCUGAACUUAAGCAUAUCAAUAAGCGGAGGAAAAGAAACUAACAAGGAUUCCCCUAGUAACUGCGAGUGAAGCGGGAAAAGCUCAAAUUUAAAAUCUGGCGGUCUUUGGCCGUCCGA
rnacentral:rRNA from 1 species